GAUGAAGAACGCAGCGAAAUGCGAUAAGUAAUGUGAAUUGCAGAAUUCAGUGAAUCAUCGAAUCUUUGAACGCACCUUGCGCCCUUUAGCCAUUCCGAAGGGCAUGCCUGUUUGAGUAUCAUGAACACCUCAACUCUCAUGGCUCGCCAUGAUGAGCUUGGACUUUGGGGGUCUUGCUGGCCUGUGGUCGGCUCCUCUCAAAUGGAUCAGCUUGCCAGUGUUUGGUGGCAUCACAGGUGUGAUAACUAUCUGCGCUUGUGGUUUUCCAUCAGAUAACCUUCAGUGAUGGAGGUUCGCUGGAGCUCAUAAACGUCUCCCCUAAGCGGGGACAGCCCUUUGAAUGUUUGAUCUCAAAUCAGGUAGGACUACCCGCUGAACUUAAGCAUAUCAAUAAGCGGAGGA
rnacentral:misc_RNA from 1 species